GUGGGGAAUCUUGCGCAAUUGGCGAAAGCCUGACGCAGCCAUGCCGCGUGAAUGAUGAAGGUCUUAGGAUUGUAAAAUUCUUUCACCGGGGACGAUAAUGACGGUACCCGGAGAAGAAGCUCCGGCUAACUUCGUGCCAGCAGCCGCGGUAAUACGAAGGGGGCUAGCGUUGCUCGGAAUUACUGGGCGUAAAGGGCGCGUAGGCGGACAGCUUAGUCAGAGGUGAAAGCCCAGGGCUCAACCUUGGAAUUGCCUUUGAUACUGGCUGUCUUGAGUACGGGAGAGGUGAGUGGAACUCCGAGUGUAGAGGUGAAAUUCGUAGAUAUUCGGAAGAACACCAGUGGCGAAGGCGACUCACUGGCCCGUUACUGACGCUGAGGCGCGAAAGCGUGGGGAGCAAACAGGAUUAGAAACCCGUGUAGUCC
rnacentral:rRNA from 1 species